rnacentral:tRNA from 1 species
UCCCUGGUGGUCUAGUAGCUAAGACUCCGCACUUCCAAAGCAGGGGGCCCGGGUUCGAUCCCUGGUAGGGGAU